rnacentral:rRNA from 1 species
GACGAACGCUGGCGGCGUGCUUAACACAUGCAAGUCGAACGGAAAGGCCCCCUUGUGGGGUACUCGAGUGGCGAACGGGUGAGUAACACGUGAGUAACCUACCCUUGACUUUGGGAUAACUUCAGGAAACUGGGGCUAAUACCGGAUAGGAGCUCCUGCUGCAUGGUGGGGGUUGGAAAGUUUCGGCGGUUGGGGAUGGACUCGCGGCUUAUCAGCUUGUUGGUGGGGUAGUGGCUCACCAAGGCUUUGACGGGUAGCCGGCCUGAGAGGGUGACCGGCCCCAUCGGAGUGGAACUGCGCCCCGGCCUCCUCCGGGAGGCGACGUGGGAGAAUGUUGCAAAGGGGGGGGAAGCCUAAUCCGACACCGCGGCGUGGGGGGGGACGGCUUGGGGUUUGAAACCCGUUUUCCCGUGUGAGGAGGGGUGAGUGAGGUAAAUGUAUAAGGAAGCCCGGGCUAACUAGGUG